rnacentral:rRNA from 1 species
GCGUUGCUCGGAAUUACUGGGCGUAAAGCGCACGUAGGCGGCUUCUUAAGUCGGGGGUGAAAUCCUGGAGCUCAACUCCAGAACUGCCUUUGAUACUGAGGAGCUCGAGUCCGGGAGAGGUGAGUGGAACUCCGAGUGUAGAGGUGAAAUUCGUAGAUAUUCGGAAGAACACCAGUGGCGAAGGCGGCUCACUGGCCCGUUACUGACGCUGAGGUGCGAAAGCGUGGGGAGCAAACAGG